UUCUAUCCAGAAACAUUCAUGAUGGGAAGAGAAGCCUUGCUCCCCUGCUCUCCCAUUCCCCCUCUCCUGUUCUUUUAUCUCUUUCACAUAAGCUAUUAAUUAUGCAGGCUCAAUCCUGCCUAAGUUUUCCAAAUCUCUCUCAGGACAGUCUUGCAGGAAGGAGCUUGAGGCUGUGAUGGUCUGGAAGUCUAGUCUUUCUCAUGGCCUUCUCAAAUUGUCUCAGGAGGACAACUGCCUUAUCUCAUGUUAAUCUCUGCUGCUCUGAGACAAUGUUCUGUCGUU